rnacentral:rRNA from 1 species
CCCUUAGAUGUUCUGGGCCGCACGCGCGCUACACUGUUCGACGCAGCGAGUCUUAACCUUGACCGAAAGGUUUGGGUAAUCUUCAGCAAAGUCGAACGUGAUGGGGAUCGAUCAUUGCAAUUAUUGAUCGUGAACGAGGAAUUCCUAGUAAACGCAGAUCAUCAAUCUGCAUUGAUUACGUCCCUGCCCUUUGUACACACCGCCCGUCGCACCUACCGAUUGGAUGGUCCGGUGAAGCCUCGGGAUUGUGGUUCUUGCCGCUUUAUUGUGGCGUGACCGCGAGAACUUGUCUAAACCUUAUCAUCUAGAGGAAGGUGAAGUCGUAACA